UACGGAGUGCUAGGAAGGGGGCCCCUAACCCUGACUUGGGUUGACGAGGGUUCCUGGUAGAACUGAUGUGUUAGCAGCACUGGUGGGAGUUAAUCAGGGAAGAGAGCCCUGGCGUUGCAUCAUUUCCCACUCCUGAGAUAACAGUUAGAUCAGUGUUUCCCACAGAGGGGUUGACUUGAUAAGAACACAGGUUUGCCCAGCCUUUCUGAGGAAUCCGUUUGGGGUAGUAAGGCUUCAGAGCUUUGUUCUCCUCCUGGGCAAAGCGAGUGCUUCCUGUUGCACGGUAUAACAACUGGGAUUUGCGUUUCACAAAGAAAGAAAGAGAAAGAGAAAGAGGGAGAGAGAACAGGAGUCUUGCUCUAUUGCCCAGGCUGGAAUGCAAUCUAAAAAU
rnacentral:lncRNA from 1 species